GCAUAUCAAUAAGCGGAGGAAAAGAAACUAACAAGGAUUCCCCUAGUAACGGCGAGUGAAGAGGGAAGAGCCCAAGAUUGAAAGCUGGCGUCUUCGGCGUCCGCAUUGUAAUCUCAAGAAGUGUUUUCCGCUUCGGACCAAGCCUAAGUCCCUUGGAAAAGGGCAUCAUAGAGGGUGAUAAUCCCGUACAUGGCUUGGAGCGCCCGAGGCUUUGUGAUACGCUUUCUAAGAGUCGAGUUGUUUGGGAAUGCAGCUCAAAAUGGGUGGUAAAUGCCAUCUAAGGCUAAAUAUUGGGGAGAGACCGAUAGCGAACAAGUACAGUGAUGGAAAGAUGAAAAGAACUUUGAAAAGAGAGUUAAACAGUACGUGAAAUUGCCAAAAGGGAAGGGUAGGAGGUCAGAGAUGCGGCCUGGGAUUCAGCCUUGCUUUUGCUUGGUGUUUUUCCCAGAUUGCAGGCCAACGUCGGUUUUGGGCACUGGAGAAGGGUAGGAGGAACGUGGCACCCCUCGGGGUGUGUUAUAGCCUCCUACUGGAUACAGCGACCGAGACCGAGGACAGCAGCGUACUCGUAAGAGCGGGCCCUCGGGCACCUUUACGCUUAGGGCGUUGGCAUAAUGGCCCUCUACCACCCGUCUUGAAACACGGACC
rnacentral:rRNA from 1 species